rnacentral:misc_RNA from 1 species
UCCACAGACUCGGCAAUCAACAACCUUUCAGUUGAAGUUAAAAAUACCAGUGAGAUCUCCAUACCAAGUUCAUGCAGAAAGGCAUGUAGUUCAAAAGAGAAAAAGACAAAGGCGAUGAAGCCAAGCAUAAAGAAUUUAGGAUUUAAUAGAUUGGUGAUCUUUCCUCAAAUUUAUAAUGUGUUAUUUAACCUACUAUUUAGACUCUCCCUAUCUAGGAAUUCCUUUUAUUUUGUUAAUAAUUUUCUUAUUUGGGAGUGCUAAGCCUAAUAGGACAAGGAAGAGUCUUUAGCCUUAAUAAACACUUUUGCAAUUUAGUUAUUUCCUUUCAGAUAAUAACCUAUAACUUGAGACAUAUGAUAACAGAAAUAUAAGAAUGUAAUUUGAUUAAGAAUCAUGCAUGCCUUGAGUGAUUUCUCUUUUCUCUUUCCCUCUCUCCAUGAAUUUUUCCUAAUCUUCUGUCAAAUCACAAGUCCUUCAAAAUAGUUUUAAUUUUUCCCAUAGCUCCAAAAUGCCUAGUUUCAUCAUUGAUCCAUCACCUAUGUUUGAACCAAAGACCUGGUUUCAUGACUCCUUAAACAUUUUGAUAACUACAUAUCCUAAUACUUGGGAAAAAGGCCAAGACAGCCUAAAAUUAAAAGAGAGAUGGCAGAGAAUACUUUUAAAUAAUGUCGACGAAGUAAUCAACCCUACUAACAAAAGAUGCAAGAAAACCAAAAAUUUUAGUACUUUACAUGGAAUAUGUAAUGAAAUUGCAAGAAUCUAGCCAUCGUAAAAGAAUAAGUAAAAAAAAAAAUGUUCAUCAGGAAUUUGUACUAAUCUAAUCUUGCCAUUAGCAACCCAUGACCCAUCCAUAGCAACUCGUGAACACUAGUUCUGGUGCAUCUCCAAAAUAUAUGAAAGAACAAAAGGCAUAAAUUAACCAAUGAAUAUAUAUAUACAAUAAACUGAUAAUUAAAACAAAAAAAGUAAAUCUUCCAUCUUGGAAAAAUUAAGUUAAAUGACUAUACAAAGAGCAUUUUUUUUGUCAAGGAUGUUGAGCAAAGCUUUCAUCCUUUAAUUUGAAUAAAUAAUCUAUGGUUAACCAAUUAAAUUUCCUUAAAAGAAGGGAUAAGUUUGCAACAUGAAAUUGAAACAAAAGGAAGGAGAUGUUUGACUGACAAACAUUCACUCCUGAAAAUAGCUGGUGUCAUAACUUGCAAUCUCAAUGAAUUCCCUUGUAUUACAAGCAAAAUAGCUAGUACAUCUGUACAAACUGUUAAUAAAACAUCAGAAAAACUUCAAUAUUUUUCUAAUGAGACUGUAAGUACAUGUAUCUGCAUAUGAGUGUCUUAAAAUUUAUUUCAACCUUUAAAAGGGCAAACAUAUCACACCAAAAUCACAUGUGAAGAAGAAAGGGAAGAACGCUUCACAGACUUAUAUACACUACAAAUACUUCGUAACAGGACGUAAAAUUAGUAAUUUCAAAUUGACAACACAAAUAGCCAAUCCUUGAGGACAUAGAGUAAAUACCAUAAAGUCAAUAAAAUGAAGGCACAAAUAUAUUUCCAAAAAUUGCAUCCAGUACAGGGACCAUAAAAUAACAAGAAUAAGCAGGAACUGAAUAUUUUAGUUUUCAUUUAAAUAACACCACAAUAUUACUGCAUCUAGCUUGAUUUCAAUCAAUUUCAUUCCCAACAACAGAGAGAGCUGUCUUGUAUUAAGAACCUCAACCACAGUGCUUAGCCAGAAGUAAGCCCCGAUUCCGAAAAUCACAAAAGCACCCAUGGGUAAGGAAUUUAAGGAUUUCAGAUUGAGAAAGAUAAAAUACAGUGAAUUCAACAAGCCAAACAAAACAUGCUCUACCACUAUGUAGCACCUUGUUUAGACUCAUUGGCUUUGAAUAUUUUCAAAUGUCAAAACCCAUUGAUUGAAGCUGAAUUCAUUUUGCAAAGCCCUAAAAAAUUAUACUCCAUUAAUGAAACCUGAAUUGGUUUUGCAAAUCCUAAAAAAUUUAUAUCUCCACAAUGCAUUCCAUGAACAUUUUAAAAUAAAAGGUUGUUACUCAAAAUGCUAUACAAAUAUCAGAGUAAUUAGAUUCCUGCUGAUUCUCAAAAUCAAACUGUUAAGUUUGCAUGCUAAUAACGUUAAUAAUGCAUUACUUUAAAGUUUUAACUUUGCUAGGUACUGAUACCAAAAUCCAUACAAAAUACCUGUUACUUUUUUGAAACUUCUGAAGCACACCCUCAAGCUAAAUAAAGGACUAUAAUAUAAUGAACUGAUGUAACCAAGGAACAAAUGACACAGUCAACUUUUCUAGAAAAAAGUUCAUUUCGAUGAAAAUGAAAACCAUCACCGCUUAGCACUGAAGAAAAUAUGAACUCCAAGAGUUUCAGUAUAUCUACAUCAUUCUCCAGUAGAAGGACACUAAUUUGAUCAAGGAACACAAAAACAUUUUGAACAUCAAAAAAUGUAAAAAUAAAAAUAAAACCAAAAACCAAAACUAGGAAAUGUAAAAGACUGCAACAAAAGCAUAUUGCAUACAAUUCAAGUGUUUGGCCAAUAUAAGGUCUCUCACUCUCACCUUUUAUAAAGAACUGAUGUAACUAAGGAACAAAUGACACAGUCAACCUUUCUAGAAAAAAAGUUCAUUUCCAUGAAAACCAAAACCAUCACCGCUUAGCACUGGAGAAAAUAUGAAGUCCAUGGUUUAGAAUAUUGAAAUACAAUCAAUGCACCAUGUGCAGACUGUUGCAACUUACUUGUCCACAACUACUAAACAAG